UAGCGAGUUUCAUGGCGGCCCGUACCCUAAACCGACUCAGGUGGUCAGGUAGAGAAUACCGAGGCGUUCGGGUGAACUAUGGUUAAGGAACUCGGCAAAAUGCCCCCGUAACUUCGGGAGAAGGGGGGCCAGUCCUGGUGAUGAGCUUUGCGCUCUGAGCUGGGGGUGGCCGCAGAGACCAGCGAGAAGCGACUGUUUACUAAAAACACAGGUCCGUGCGAAGCCGUAAGGCGAUGUAUACGGACUGACGCCUGCCCGGUGCUGGAACGUUAAGGGGACCGGUUAGCUCCAUUUCGGUGGGGCGAAGCUGAGAACUUAAGCGCCAGUAAACGGCGGUGGUAACUAUAACCAUCCUAAGGUAGCGAAAUUCCUUGUCGGGUAAGUUCCGACCUGCACGAAUGGCGUAACGACUUCUCGACUGUCUCAACCAUAGGCCCGGUGAAAUUGCACUACGAGUAAAGAUGCUCGUUUCGCGCAGCAGGACGGAAAGACCCCGGGACCUUUACUACAGUUUGAUAUUGGUGUUCGGUUCGGCUUGUGUAGGAUAGCUGGGAGACUGUGAAGCCUGGACGCCAGUUCGGGUGGAGUCGUCGUUGAAAUACCAGUCUGGUCGUGCUGGAUGUCUAACCUGGGUCCGUGAUCCGGAUCAGGGACAGUGUCUGAUGGGUAGUUUAACUGGGGCGGUUGCCUCCUAAAGGGUAACGGAGGCGCCCAAAGGUUCCCUCAGCCUGGUUGGCAAUCAGGUGUUGAGUGUAAGUGCACAAGGGAGCUUGACUGUGAGACCGACGGGUCGAGCAGGGACGAAAGUCGGGACUAGUGAUCCGGCGGUGGCUUGUGGAAGCGCCGUCGCUCAACGGAUAAAAGGUACCCCGGGGAUAACAGGCUGAUCUUCCCCAAGAGUCCAUAUCGACGGGAUGGUUUGGCACCUCGAUGUCGGCUCGUCGCAUCCUGGGGCUGGAGUCGGUCCCAAGGGUUGGGCUGUUCGCCCAUUAAAGCGGUACGCGAGCUGGGUUUAGAACGUCGUGAGACAGUUCGGUCCCUAUCCGCUGUGCGCGUAGGAGUCUUGAGAAGGGCUGUCCCUAGUACGAGAGGACCGGGACGGACGAACCUCUGGUGUGCCAGUUGUUCUGCCAAGGGCAUGGCUGGUUGGCUACGUUCGGGAGGGAUAACCGCUGAAAGCAUCUAAGCGGGAAGCCUGCUUCGAGAUGAGGGCUCCCACCCACUUGAUGGGGUAAGGCUCCCAGUAGACGACUGGGUUGAUAGGCCGGAUCUGGAAGCACGGUAACGUGUGGAGGUGACCGGUACUAAUAGGCCGAGGGCUUGUCCUC
rnacentral:rRNA from 1 species